GUACCGUCAGUACCGUCCAGUCGGAUCGACCUCGAAAACAACUCCGAGUCCUGAUCGACAGGAACAGGGUUCGUGCUCGGCAUCUUCAAGCAAGAAUAUAGAGAAAUUAACUUCAGAAGCAGGGAAAUAAUAUGCAGAAACGAAGGUCCAAAUACAGGCUAAAAGUUCUUCAAGAGAGAACAAUUUUAAACCCCUAAAACCAAUGAACAACAAGGAAUAUAAUUUGAACCACCGAAAGGAAAAGUUUUGAAGUCCUAAAUUCGUUACUCAUGCUAGAAUCAACUACAAACACAAAUUUCUCCCUGUUACCCCACGCAAAUUGGAUGAAACACAAAAAUCUCUCUCUCUUUCUCUUGGAUCGAUGGGUGCAACAACAAAACAGCGAUGGAUGCAAACAAGAAAAGAGAUUUACUUGUGAUACAACGCUUUCUUUCGAUGCCUUUCUGCACAGAGCUACGAUCUCUGCAACGAGAAAGGAAGGAACCCAAACUCAGGGGAGCUGGGGUUUAUAUAGGGGUCGAGCUAGGUCGGGCUUCACUCUGGGGUUAGUUGACCUUGGACUGUGGUUAAGUGUUGGGUUAACGUGUUUG
rnacentral:lncRNA from 1 species